GACGAACGCUGGCGGCGUGCUUAACACAUGCAAGUCGAACGAAGAGCGAUGGAAGCUUGCUUCUCUCAAUCUUAGUGGCGAACGGGUGAGUAACGCGUAAUCAACCUGCCCUUCAGAGGGGGACAACAGUUGGAAACGACUGCUAAUACCGCAUACGAUCUAAUCUCGGCAUCGAGGAUAGAUGAAAGGUGGCCUCUACAUGUAAGCUAUCACUGAAGGAGGGGAUUGCGUCUGAUUAGCUAGUUGGAGGGGUAACGGCCCACCAAGGCGAUGAUCAGUAGCCGGUCGGAGAGGAUGAACGGCACAAUGGGGACUGAGACACGGCCCAGACCCCUAGGGGAGGCAGCAGUGGGGAAUCUUCCGCAAUGGACGAAAGUCUGCCGGAGCAACGCCGCGUGAGUGAUGACGGCCUUCGGGUUGAAAAGCCCUUUUAAUCGGGACGAAAGGCCUUUUUGCGAAUAGUGAGAAGGUUGGACGGUCCCGGAAUAAAAACCCCCGGCUAACUACGU
rnacentral:rRNA from 1 species